rnacentral:tRNA from 1 species
UCCCUGGUGGUCCAAUGGCAAAGACUCUGAGCUCCUGAUGCAGGGGGCCAGGAUUCAAUCCUGGUUAGGGAA